ACUCCUACGGGAGGCAGCAGUGGGGAAUUUUGGACAAUGGGCGAAAGCCUGAUCCAGCAAUGCCGCGUGUGUGGAGAAGGCCUUCGGGUUGUAAAGCACUUUUGUCCGGAAAGAAAUCCUUGGCUCUAAUACAGUCGGGGGAUGACGGUACCGGAAGAAUAAGCACCGGCUAACUACGUGCCAGCAGCCGCGGUAAUACGUAGGGUGCGAGCGUUAAUCGGAAUUACUGGGCGUAAAGCGUGCGCAGGCGGUUUGCUAAGACCGAUGUGAAAUCCCCGGGCUCAACCUGGGAACUGCAUUGGUGACUGGCAGGCUAGAGUAUGGCAGAGGGGGUUAGAAUUCCACGUGUAGCAGUGAAAUGCGUAGAGAUGUGGAGGAAUACCGAUGGCGAAGGCAGCCCCCUGGGCCAAUACUGACGCUCAUGCACGAAAGCGUGGGGAGCAAACAGGAUUAGAAACCCCUGUAGUCCCAUGA
rnacentral:rRNA from 1 species